GUCCUCAGCUUUUGGGUUUUCCUUUGCCAAUCUUGUCUGAUCGCAGAAAAUAAGCAGGGUCAAGCAUGGUUAGGACUAAAGUGGGGGACUGCCUGGAAAUACCAGCUGCUGUAGGCU
rnacentral:rRNA from 1 species